GGGUUGUGAGGUUAAGCGACUAAGCGUACACGGUGGAUGCCCUGGCAGUCAGAGGCGAUGAAGGACGUGCUAAUCUGCGAUAAGCGUCGGUAAGGUGAUAUGAACCGUUAUAACCGGCGAUUUCCGAAUGGGGAAACCCAGUGUGAUUCGUCACACUAUCAUUAACUGAAUUCAUAGGUUAAUGAGGCGAACCGGGGGAACUGAAACAUCUAAGUACCCCGAGGAAAAGAAAUCAACCGAGAUUCCCCCAGUAGCGGCGAGCGAACGGGGAGGAGCCCAGAGCCUGAAUCAGUGUGUGUGUUAGUGGAAGCGUCUGGAAAGGCGCGCGAUACAGGGUGACAGCCCCGUACACAAAAAUGCACAUGCUGUGAGCUCGAUGAGUAGGGCGGGACACGUGGUAUCCUGUCUGAAUAUGGGGGGACCAUCCUCCAAGGCUAAAUACUCCUGACUGACCGAUAGUGAACCAGUACCGUGAGGGAAAGGCGAAAAGAACCCCGGCGAGGGGAGUGAAAAAGAACCUGAAACCGUGUACGUACAAGCAGUGGGAGCCUCUUUAUGGGGUGACUGCGUACCUUUUGUAUAAUGGGUCAGCGACUUAUAUUCUGUAGCAAGGUUAACCGAAUAGGGGAGCCGAAGGGAAACCGAGUCUUAACUGGGCGUUAAGUUGCAGGGUAUAGACCCGAAACCCGGUGAUCUAGCCAUGGGCAGGUUGAAGGUUGGGUAACACUAACUGGAGGACCGAACCGACUAAUGUUGAAAAAUUAGCGGAUGACUUGUGGCUGGGGGUGAAAGGCCAAUCAAACCGGGAGAUAGCUGGUUCUCCCCGAAAGCUAUUUAGGUAGCGCCUCGUGAACUCAUCUCCGGGGGUAGAGCACUGUUUCGGCAAGGGGGUCAUCCCGACUUACCAACCCGAUGCAAACUGCGAAUACCGGAGAAUGUUAUCACGGGAGACACACGGCGGGUGCUAACGUCCGUCGUGAAGAGGGAAACAACCCAGACCGCCAGCUAAGGUCCCAAAGUCAUGGUUAAGUGGGAAACGAUGUGGGAAGGCCCAGACAGCCAGGAUGUUGGCUUAGAAGCAGCCAUCAUUUAAAGAAAGCGUAAUAGCUCACUGGUCGAGUCGGCCUGCGCGGAAGAUGUAACGGGGCUAAACCAUGCACCGAAGCUGCGGCAGCGACGCUUAUGCGUUGUUGGGUAGGGGAGCGUUCUGUAAGCCUGCGAAGGUGUACUGUGAGGUAUGCUGGAGGUAUCAGAAGUGCGAAUGCUGACAUAAGUAACGAUAAAGCGGGUGAAAAGCCCGCUCGCCGGAAGACCAAGGGUUCCUGUCCAACGUUAAUCGGGGCAGGGUGAGUCGACCCCUAAGGCGAGGCCGAAAGGCGUAGUCGAUGGGAAACAGGUUAAUAUUCCUGUACUUGGUGUUACUGCGAAGGGGGGACGGAGAAGGCUAUGUUGGCCGGGCGACGGUUGUCCCGGUUUAAGCGUGUAGGCUGGUUUUCCAGGCAAAUCCGGAAAAUCAAGGCUGAGGCGUGAUGACGAGGCACUACGGUGCUGAAGCAACAAAUGCCCUGCUUCCAGGAAAAGCCUCUAAGCAUCAGGUAACAUCAAAUCGUACCCCAAACCGACACAGGUGGUCAGGUAGAGAAUACCAAGGCGCUUGAGAGAACUCGGGUGAAGGAACUAGGCAAAAUGGUGCCGUAACUUCGGGAGAAGGCACGCUGAUACGUAGGUGAAGUCCCUUGCGGAUGGAGCUGAAAUCAGUCGAAGAUACCAGCUGGCUGCAACUGUUUAUUAAAAACACAGCACUGUGCAAACACGAAAGUGGACGUAUACGGUGUGACGCCUGCCCGGUGCCGGAAGGUUAAUUGAUGGGGUUAGCGGUAACGCGAAGCUCUUGAUCGAAGCCCCGGUAAACGGCGGCCGUAACUAUAACGGUCCUAAGGUAGCGAAAUUCCUUGUCGGGUAAGUUCCGACCUGCACGAAUGGCGUAAUGAUGGCCAGGCUGUCUCCACCCGAGACUCAGUGAAAUUGAACUCGCUGUGAAGAUGCAGUGUACCCGCGGCAAGACGGAAAGACCCCGUGAACCUUUACUAUAGCUUGACACUGAACAUUGAGCCUUGAUGUGUAGGAUAGGUGGGAGGCUUUGAAGUGUGGACGCCAGUCUGCAUGGAGCCGACCUUGAAAUACCACCCUUUAAUGUUUGAUGUUCUAACGUUGGCCCCUAAUCGGGGUUGCGGACAGUGUCUGGUGGGUAGUUUGACUGGGGCGGUCUCCUCCUAAAGAGUAACGGAGGAGCACGAAGGUUGGCUAAUCCUGGUCGGACAUCAGGAGGUUAGUGCAAUGGCAUAAGCCAGCUUGACUGCGAGCGUGACGGCGCGAGCAGGUGCGAAAGCAGGUCAUAGUGAUCCGGUGGUUCUGAAUGGAAGGGCCAUCGCUCAACGGAUAAAAGGUACUCCGGGGAUAACAGGCUGAUACCGCCCAAGAGUUCAUAUCGACGGCGGUGUUUGGCACCUCGAUGUCGGCUCAUCACAUCCUGGGGCUGAAGUAGGUCCCAAGGGUAUGGCUGUUCGCCAUUUAAAGUGGUACGCGAGCUGGGUUUAGAACGUCGUGAGACAGUUCGGUCCCUAUCUGCCGUGGGCGCUGGAGAACUGAGGGGGGCUGCUCCUAGUACGAGAGGACCGGAGUGGACGCAUCACUGGUGUUCGGGUUGUCAUGCCAAUGGCACUGCCCGGUAGCUAAAUGCGGAAGAGAUAAGUGCUGAAAGCAUCUAAGCACGAAACUUGCCCCGAGAUGAGUUCUCCCUGACUCCUUGAGAGUCCUGAAGGAACGUUGAAGACGACGACGUUGAUAGGCCGGGUGUGUAAGCGCAGCGAUGCGUUGAGCUAACCGGUACUAAUGAACCGUGAGGCUUAACCUUACAACGCCGAAG
rnacentral:rRNA from 1 species